UGCAUCCACACUAGGGGUUGCCAGUAUAACUAUUAUGGUAAAAGAUCUCACCUCUAACCUGACAUAGUUAUACUGCUACAAAAGCUGUGUGCAGAUCAGACCUUACUUUAGCAGGUCUUAAUAACUUGGUAACAAACCUGAGUCUGCAACCAGCCUGAAAAAAGCACCUAAAGGGAGGAGUGCAUUGCCCCAACCAUAUCAGUGGGGCAUAAAUGUUGAAAUCUGUUCUACUGCAGUAUUACCUAAACGCCCUUCUAACCUUAUUACAAACAGAGGAAUGCAGAGGAUUUUGCCACUAAAUUUACGUCAAGCUUGCCUCAGAGUACGUGGAACCUUGCUUACAGGUCUCUAUAUAUGUAUAUGGGAUAUGCUUGUCCUGUAUAAUCAGCAUGAAUAACUAAUGCAUAAAAUCCAAAAUGAACUUGAAAAACUCCACUGAAAUAGGUACACGCUGAAAUCUCCAGUUUAGAAGAGUAUUUAUUCCACCAAUUACUGAGGAAGAAGAGAAAAUAAGUACCAGUAUGUGUCUGAGUUGUACAGUUAACAAUAGAAGUAAUCCACUGUGCCCUUUUAUUACCCCAUGGGACUACAGGUUUCCAAGGAAGAGAAGUAAGAUUGAUGUAUUAUGUUAAAUAGACAGUGUGUGCUGUAACAGCUGGGAGCAAGGUAAGUAAACCCUUGUCUGACUAGCCUUUGGUGGAUUUAAGGUCGAUGCUACUAUGCCUUUGACAAUAGUUGUGUAUUAUUUAACUAACAAUAGAUUCAGCACAAUCCCUCUUGAAACUGAUCCUCCAAUUACAUGUAAUUUAAAAUAAUGAGCCUUUAUAAUCUCUUGCUUCAAUGGGUUUGGGUAUUUAAAGGGACACACUGCAGUCUGGGCACUUCUCUCGUCAAGUAACGCAAGCGCACAGACUGCUGUUAGAAAACAAAUCACUCUUCAACCCUUUCGUCAUGGUUUUAAUUAUUUUAAACUAGAAGAAAUUGGAGUCCACAUUGUUAGCGCACAGAGUGCACAUCUCGUAUUGUCUUGCCUGAGUUUGGAGUGUGUGGUUGGGGUUUUUUUAAGUCUGAAAUACUAACUUUUUGUUGCACUAUAAUUUAAAUAGCUAGAUGAGUGGCCAGCUCAGUAAUCUCAAAGUGCUGUGUCCUAGAGGCAGAAUCUUCAGCUGCCAGGAAAGAGGGUGCGUAUCUCCAAGUACCAAUGCCUGUGAUGAACACCACACUGAAUUAAUGAAACUCUGUCCAGCCUUAUUUCCUGGAGGAGAGUUGGCAGGCAAUGCACAGAUAUGAUGCCCAAAAUUGAAGUCAGUGCUCCAAUUAAGGUCUAACAAUGCUAAAUAGAGUGGAAUAACUACUUCAUUUAAGAAAAUUCUGUCCUACUUCCUGUUCUCUGACUUCCACUUUAGAGAGAGAGAAGAACAGCACAGAUGCCUGAAAAAUAUACCCUUCAUAAAACAACACAGGACAUGAAAAGUAAAAGCAAGUAUCACAAUCAGUUGUACCCAGCAAAAAGGCAGGAUGUAUAGCAGAUGUGUGAGAAAUCCAGGCAAACCAGGAAUGUACAAGCUGCACACAUACCAUGUGAAGGCCAUGACAGAUAGUCACAUUAAGAGAACCACCUCAACCACAAACAAGCUGAGGCAACUGAGCCUGCAAACACAAGUUGUGUAUUUAAAAAACAGAUGGGACCCACAAGUACUAACUGACAGGUCAAAAACAGGAUUGAUUUCUCUUCAUGUUGGAUUAAGGGAAAAUAUCUUAUUUGCAUAAAAUGACCCUGCACUGACAAGACCUGAUUGUUUAGAGCAUAGCA